rnacentral:rRNA from 1 species
AUUACUCCUACGGGAGGCAGCAGUGGGGAAUAUUGCACAAUGGGCGAAAGCCUGAUGCAGCGACGCCGCGUGAGGGAUGACGGCCUUCGGGUUGUAAACCUCUUUCAGCAGGGACGAAGCGCAAGUGACGGUACCUGCUUAAGAAGCACCGGCUAACUACGUGCCAGCAGCCGCGGUAAUAAUC